rnacentral:rRNA from 1 species
ACAACUAUCAACCACGGAUCUCUUGGCAUCCCACUCGAUGAAGAACGCAGCGAAUUGCGAUAAGUAAUGUGGAUUGCAGAAUUCAGUGAAUCAUCGAAUCUUUGAACGCACCUUGCACCUUCCAGUACUCUGGAGGGUAUGCCCGGUUGAGUAUUAU